rnacentral:rRNA from 1 species
CCCUACGGGGUGCAGCAGGCGCGAACACUUUACAAUGCGGGAAACCGCGAUAAGGGAACCCCGAGUGCCAGCAUCAAAUGUUGGCUGUCCGGAUGAUUAAAAAUCAUUUGUUAGCAAGGGCCGGGCAAGACCGGUGCCAGCCGCCGCGGUAACACCAGCGGCCCGAGUGGUAGCCGUUUUUAUUGGGUCUAAAGGGUCCGUAGCCGGCCUGAUAAGUCCUUUGGGAAAUCUGGCAGCUUAACUGUCAGGCUUCUAAGGGAUACUGUCAGGCUUGGGACCGGAAGAGGUAAGGGGUACUCCAGGGGUAGGAGUGAAAUCUUGUAAUCCCUGGGGGACCAUCUGUGGCGAAGGCGCCUUACCAGAACGGGUCCGACGGUGAGGGACGAAAGCUAGGGGAGCAAACCGGAUUAGAUACCCGGGUAGUCCUAGCUGUAAACGAUGCUCGCUAGGUGUCAGACACGGUGCGACCGUGUUUGGUGCCGCAGGGAAGCCGUUAAGCGAGCCACCUGGGAAGUACGGUCGCAAGGCUGAAACUUAAAGGAAUUGGCGGGGGAGCAC